rnacentral:rRNA from 1 species
GGCCGGGAACUCAAAGGAGACUGCCAGUGAUAAACUGGAGGAAGGUGGGGAUGACGUCAAGUCAUCAUGGCCCUUACGACCAGGGCUACACACGUGCUACAAUGGCAUAUACAAAGAGAAGCGACCUCGCGAGAGCAAGCGGACCUCAUAAAGUAUGUCGUAGUCCGGAUUGGAGUCUGCAACUCGACUCCAUGAAGUCGGAAUCGCUAGUAAUCGUAGAUCAGAAUGCUACGGUGAAUACGUUCCCGGGCCUUGUACAC